AGAUAUCACGCCGGAGGAACGGACUACCCUGAUGAGGCAGAACACGGGCUCAUACCCUGAUAUUUUC
rnacentral:tRNA from 1 species